CCUACGGGAGGCAGCAGUAGGGAAUUUUCGGCAAUGGGGGGAACCCUGAACGAGCAACGCCGCGUGAACGAAGAAGUUAUUCGUAAUGUAAAGUUCUUUUAACAGGGAAGAAAGAGAAAUUUGACGGUACCUGAAGAAUAAGCUCCGGCUAACUACGUGCCAGCAGCCGCGGUAAUACGUAGGGAGCGAGCGUUAUCCGGAAUUAUUGGGCGUAAAGGGUGCGUAGAUGGCAGAGUAAGUCUGUUGUAAAAAUGCUGGGCUCAACCCAGUAGGGCAAAAGAUACUGCAAAGCUAGAGUUGGACAGAGGCAAGUGGAACUACAGGUGUAGCGGUAAAAUGCGUAGAUAUAUGUCAGAACACCAGUGGCGAAGGCGGCUUGCUGGGUCGAUACUGACAUUGAGGCACGAAAGCGUGGGUAGCAAACAGGAUUAGAUACCCCUGUAGUC
rnacentral:rRNA from 1 species